ACUACUAGCUACUGCUUAAAACUCAAAGGACUUGGCGGUGCCCUAAUACCCACCUAGAGGAGCCUGUUCUAUAAUCGAUAAACCCCGAUAUACCCAACCCCAUCUUGCCAAUACAGCCUAUAUACCGCCAUCGUCAGCCCACCUUAAAAAAGAUACAAAGUAAGCAAAAUUAUUUUUUCAUAAAAACGUUAGGUCAAGGUGUAGCAUAUGAUAGGGAAAGAAAUGGGCUACAUUAUCUAGCUUAGAUUACACGAAUCACAUUAUGAAAUCUAAUGUGCCUGAAGGAGGAUUUAGUAGUAAAUUAAGAAUAGAGUGCUUAAUUGAAUUAGGCAAUAGGGCGCGCACACACCGCCCGUCACCCUCCUCAACUCAACCUACAAAAAUACUUAAUAAUAUAUCUAAGUAAAGAGGAGAAAAGUCGUAACACGGUAAGUGUACUGGAAAGUGCACUUGGAAUAUCAAAAUG
rnacentral:ncRNA from 1 species